GGAAAAGAAAAGGAAAGAAAAUGGCAUCCUGAGGGAUGGGGAAAGAAAGGAUUAGAACUUCAGGAAUCUUGGCAAUGGAACGCACACAAUCAGCCAUGACUGCCUUUGCAUUGUCCGUGCUCUCAGCCUACCACCUCCUCCCCCUGCCAUUGCAGUGGCUAACACUGGGGAAGAA